CUGGUGCCAGCAGCCGCGGUAAUUCCAGCUCCAAUAGCGUAUAUUAAAGUUGUUGCAGUUAAAAAGCUCGUAGUUGAAUUUCGGGGUUAGUAGGUUGGUCAUGCCUCUGGUAUGUACUGGUCUCACUGAUUCCUCCUUCCUGAUGAACCGUAAUGCCAUUAAUUUGGUGUUGCGGGGAAUUUGGACUGUUACUUUGAAAAAAUUAGAGUGUUUAAAGCAAGCUAACGCUUGAAUACAUUAGCAUGGAAUAAUGAAAUAGGACGUUCGAUCCUAUUUUGUUGGUUUCUAGGAUUGACGUAAUGAUUAAUAGGGAUAGUUGGGGGCAUUAGUAUUCAAUUGUCAGAGGUGAAAUUCUUGGAUUUAUUGAAGACUA
rnacentral:rRNA from 1 species